AAGAAAUUGUGGUCAGAGGUUAGUCACAACAAAAUACUCUGUCUCUAUUUUUAACAUGUUCGGAAAUCCAGCCCCGCGAGAAACGUUCAAGCAAUUUUAACGUCGCCAGCAAGGAAGUGUAAACAGCAAGAUCUACAACAAUUUUGCAUUGAUUCAAUUCAUCUGCAUUCAUUCAUCAUUAAUUCGGUUGCUUUAUAAAACUUAGUUUGGCUCACUUAUUUGCGCAAUAAUUUCAUUACUCGUACAGUAAAACACGUUGUGGGGUUAGUUGGUUCAUAGCUUUCAAAAGAUGAAGUGCCAAACAAAGACAACACAAUAAAGAAAGAACAAAGACAGGACAAAGCGCCUUGUCCUGCCUUUGUUCUUAGUGUGCUGUCUCUGCUGGCGCUUCAUCUUUUGAAAUUCAUUAGCCUAUGCUGCUUUAAAAAAAUCACCACACAUGUUAAUCACGCCUUACUGAUUCGAUCGAAACAGAGAUGUCUAAGUUUGCGUUCUGCUACGUUGUUUUAACAGAAAAAACAAUCCGGCUUCGGGACACGCUUGUAGAGUAAAAAAAAUAAAACAGUACGCUUUAUUCUAUUAGGGAGUAUUGUAAUAUUGUGUUGCACGGCAUGCGAGAGCAAAAAUAACAAUACCAGGGGCAAUAUUUCAUUAUUCACAAAUAACAAAUUAAUUUGUGCCCACUACAAUUAGCUGUCGGUCGUUAGCAACACGACAACGAUAAACACUGUUAGUAUCUUCCAGUCAUGGUUACGUGAAACAAUGCGAAUAGGCUCGUUAACGCUUUAUUGAGUUAAUAUGACAAGAAUCUAAUGUAACAGCUAAGUAUCGGCAUACUUGAAGUACUUUACGCCCCAGCUGAGAAAGGCUGUCGCAAUUUUUUUUGAGGUGAUGUACUGAUCUCAUGCUCGGUGCGCGGCAGUGGUUCCACAUGUUUCAUGGCAUAGUUCCAUUACUUGUGGCCACACAAAUUGUGCACCUAUGAAGAACAUAAAUAGAGGUUCCAACCGAUCACCUUGGCAAAGAAAACUGCGCAGGGAUACUCGAUCUAAAACGUCGCCGUAAAGAAGAUUAAGAAAACAUUAAAAUAAUUUAACGAUGAACAACGAUAAGGUAUAAGCAUGAGAGAUGUAAUAUCCAACAUCAUCAACUAAAACUCGAGGCCAAUGUUUUCGAGUAAACACGUUGAAAAGUUUGCGAAUUUUACUAAAUACGAGAUUCCAAGGUGCGAUAACACAAAGAGCACGAGAAACAACUGGCUUCGAGCAACUUACUCAGCGCAUAUAAUUGUGUACCUUCCACUGUGAAAUAUUUCUUGUUUGCAGUGCUUUCUCUGCCGACACCUUAAUUUUCACACCCUUCUCUUUAGCUGGUCGCUUUAACGAUAGCGAACAAACCAACGACUGACACACAUUUGUAGAGAGGCUCGUGGUGCAAGGAACGGAAACCCUGCUAAGCAUAUUCCUUUAGAGUUGAGUUUUGUCUGCGCAAAUAUAGAGACCCUCCGUCAUUUAGAGCAUCAACGCCUUUCGCAUAAAUCUCGCAAGCGGGAAUAACGUUAUGUCAAAAUGCUUCCGAUGUAUUUCUGAGGUUACGGAGAUGGUGACACCUUCGGUGGUUGUGGGGAACAAAGACCCGAUGACGCACGCUGGAUCUGGUUUACGUUAAGUCGGGUUUACGCUGGGUCAGGUUUACGCCAUGUCAUACGUGAACUGUGCACAUUUAGUUUGGAGUCCAAUGGUACCAGGAAAGAAAAACAAAGAUUGCUUCUUUGCAACCUGGGCAUGCUGGUUAAAAUAAAGUGGCGCAGUCUAUACGUGCCUGUGUUAGUUGGACCAGCGAAGCAAUUUCGCGUUGGAAAACUGUGUCAAAGCAAAUUUUGCCGAUUUCAGUUGUCCCCGAACUUUUGUUCGUGACUGUACAUUCGCGUAAACGCAACCAAUAGGUUCCCUAUAGAGCUGAAAUAUAAUCGAAACGGGGUGGAAAAGCAUGCAGUUAUGAGCUCGCCUCGGUGAACAAGCCUCCGAUCCAGCUUCCGGUCCAGAUUAUGCGUUAACAUAAUCUACCAGAAGUCACGCAACCAUGACAAGGCUAUUUGCACUGACGCAGCGCCCAGUUGGCGGUUUCAUUUAUUUGUAUUAAUUUCCUCAUUCGCUGUAAGGAAUACUUCCGAGCUAGAGAGCCAUAAAAAAAAUUAAACAUAUAAAGGUAAGAGAAUGUUUCCCUGCCUCCUCCUACCACACCUUUCCGACACUACUACGAACUUGAAUUUUCAGGUAAUGUCGAAAAAUAAGAAAUUUGCUGAGUUGAUCGAAGAGCGCAAAUAAUACUGUCCUCCUAAUGCGAGCACGCUUUGUCACACAUAGAAAUUGACGAAGUCAAUCUGCUUGAACGCAACGAUUGUAAGAAUGCAUUAACGAGAAGGUGCAACAUCCAUUAAAGUCUUGUUUGUGAAUAAAAGAAAUAACAUCAAAACAAAGAAAUAGCAAUCAAACUAAUUUCAUUGUUCGACAUCAAUGCGGCAAGUGGCUAACAAAAACAUGAAAUAUUUUAUAUUAAUACGGCUGUAACGAAAACACAAAUAAAAUAACGUAUUUCUUCCUCCAAGCUAUUAGCUGCGCUAGACUUCGUAUCGAAUUUAGACUGGAAUUAAAAUUAAUACAAACAAGAAAUAAAUUGAAGUUCUAGCUCGGAUAUUAACGCCACAUUGUUGCAGAAUGCUUCAAGUUUGUGGAGGUUACAGUGAUUGUAAAUUGUAGACGUGACAAAUUGCGGCCAUUGUUGUUUCUGUUAAAUAUUUACUCGAUGCGCUGUUAUCGAUGUUAUUGCGCAGUGUAAAAGGGUAACGAUUAAAAACUUUUUAAUUGGCCCACUUGGGCGAACGAGAAACGGUAUAAAACUCGAACAACAGGCGCUGUUUUUUUUUUUAUAUGCAAUCAGGUAACAAGCGAUGGGCGUUUAGCAAAAAGGACAAAAUAGCGCUUUUAUUCGGCCAUAUGCGGAGCUUUGAAAAAAACAAUUUAAACGAGCGCUUGCAUACACAUAGAGGUUACAGCAUUUGAGAAGGAACAAAUGCAGGCGAGCAGAAACUCGCCAUUAAAAUUGGAGCGUUGGGGGCCUCUCAGUUUUAUGUCUGUAAGAUGUCUGAAAUCGGGAUAACAUUCGGCGCCAGUGCUGUGAUUCUUAAUGUUCUGCGAUUCACGCCAACAGCCGAAAAUUCUCGUUCUAAAGGAAACGGCCCGUGCAAAAAAGAAAAAAAAAAAGAAAAAAGAAU